GACGAACGCUGGCGGCGUGCUUAACACAUGCAAGUCGAACGGAAAGGCCCUGCUUUUGUUGGGUGCUCGAGUGGCUAACGGUUGAGUAACACGUGAUUAACCUGCCCUUGACUUUGGGAUAACUUCAGGAAACUGUGGCUAAUACCGGAUAGGAGCUCCUGCUGCAUGUUGGGGGUUGGAAAGUUUCGGCGGUUGGGGAUGGACUCGCGGCUUAUGAGCUUGUUGGUGGGGUAGUGGCUUACCAAGGCUUUGACGGGUAGCCGGCCUGAGAGGGUGACCGGCCACAUAGGGACUGAGAUACGGCCAAGACUGCUACGGGAGGAAGCAGUGGGGAAUAGUGCACAAUGGGCGGAAGCAUGAAGCAGCAACGCCGCGUGCGGGAGGACGGCCUUCGGGUUGUAAACCGCGUUCGCCUGUGAAGAAGAGUGAGUGACGGUAAUGGGUAAAGAAGCACCGGCUAACUACGUG
rnacentral:rRNA from 1 species